rnacentral:rRNA from 1 species
CCUACGGGUGGCAGCAGUGAGGAAUAUUGGUCAAUGGGCGUAGGCCUGAACCAGCCAAGCCGCGUGAGGGAUGAAGGUACUAUGGAUCGUAAACCUCUUUUAUCAGGGAACAAAGACUGGGACGCGUCCCGUGUUGAAUGUACCUUAUGAAUAAGGAUCGGCUAACUCCGUGCCAGCAGCCGCGGUAAUACGGAGGAUCCGAGCGUUAUCCGGAUUUAUUGGGUUUAAAGGGUGCGUAGGCGGCCUUUUAAGUCAGCGGUGAAAGGCUGUGGCUCAACCCUAGCAUUGCCGUUGAAACUGGGAGGCUUGAGUAGGAUAGAGGCAGGCGGAAUGCGUGGUGUAGCGGUGAAAUGCUUAGAUAUCACGCAGAACCCCGAUUGCGAAGGCAGCCUGCCGGGCCAUGACUGACGCUGAUGCACGAAAGCGUGGGGAUCGAACAGGAUUAGAUACCCCUGUAGUC